rfam:Triticum aestivum genome assembly, contig: Triticum_aestivum_CS42_TGACv1_scaffold_146169_2BS
ACUUUACUCCCUCCCUCCGAAAAUAUUUGUCAUCAAAAUGAAUAAAAAGGGAUAUAUCUCGACGUAUUUUAGUGCUAGAUGCAUCUCUUUUUAUCUAUUUUGAUGACAAGUAUUUUCGGACGGAGGGAGUAGUAU